UUCGUGGUCAUCAGGGUGCCCCAGCUGGAGGGACCACCCGUUUUCUGCUCACCUGCUACAGCAUCUGCUCCACGCAGGCCCUUUAAAGCAUGGAACUUCAGAUCUCGCAGAUCUUCUCACCUCUUCUAGUUCCAAGUUCUAAUUCAGUGACAUAGUCCUGAAAGAUUUGCCACAUAAAGUAUAAUAUGCUUCAUCCCUGCAAAAUGAAACUACGGCAUCUGAAAGAAGGAAUGCUUGGCCAUUAAGGCCAUGUUUGAAACUUGGCACAAAUACUUGGAGAAGCCAGGCAUCUGGUCAUGGCCUGCACCAGUCAUCACAACUGGGAGGUCCUCUGGAUGAUCCGUAAUACCAGCCCCACAGCUGCUGAUCACUUUCCCACCUACCGAUUUCAGGACUCAAUAGAUCCUGAAUAUUCAAAACUGGUGAGCUGAUGUACUAUAUCCUAAGUUAAAAAUUCUUACUCAGUUCAAGGAAGUUGAACUCACCAGGCUGUGACACCCAAAAACCUUUGUUGUGAUCCACUUGUAGAAGAGCAACAAAAGGAUUGCCCUUUUCAACCAAAGGUUGUGGGUCUUGUUCAGGCCAGCCCAUUAGCCUUGGAGGGAUGCUUCUAUGCAGUGGACAUCUUACCUAUGUGUCCCGGUCAGGAGCACUCACACUGAGGUCCAAGUCCGUACCACAGCAGCUGUGUCCUCCAGCUUCUACCUGUUUAAGAUUCACCACAGUCUCAACUGUGGGCCUUGGGACUUCUGAUGGCCAAGUGUUCAGGAAGAUGUGGAGGACCCAGGAGAAUGUGCCUUGGCAGAAUUGAACCAGAAAAAGACAGAGGCUUCUUCCAUCCCUCUUGAAACACUGGUGAUUGUGAUAAACCAUCUUUGGAGAAUUUUA